ensembl:lncRNA novel transcript
GGAGAAGGCAAAGUGCAGAGGAAGGAGGAGCCACUGCUAGUGGGUACGAGGUUUCUUCUUGGUACAAGGACUUCUACGUUCUGUCCUCCUGCAGCCAUCUAAAAUCAGCCAGAAAGGUUUAGGAUCCCAUUUCCUGUUCUUGCAUCGGCUGUCCAAGCUGCUGUUCCUCUCUCCGCAGUAAGAGGGUGUUUCUCUCCCUGUUCAAGAGGAGCACCAACACUUGAGGACAGUAUCAUCCCUAGACCUUGGCAAGAGAGACCACUGAGUGAGGCAUCCAUGGAACCCAAGGAAGAGGCCUACGAAGAACCUGCAGUCACCUUCUAGACCAUUCUCCCUCACCAAACUGUCCCCUCCAGAGAGCUGAGGACUGGAUCUUCCCAUGCUGACACCUCCAGUGGGAAAGAAAAUUCUAGAUUCAGCUCUGGGUGUCCAAGUCAUUAUGAAGGCAUAUUUGUCAAGGUGGAAGAAAAGGACAUAUUCUAUUUAGCAGUUUAAUAUUACUCCUAUCAUGGUUUAAGUAUAGGACUGACACACCACCUCAAAGCAUGUCAGGAAUUGAAAGCAUCUUCUUUUUUAUAUUUGAUACAAAAUGUAUCCUGGUCUUGCUGUCUGCUGCUGGCCCCGUGCUAGUUUAGAGGACAACUUCUCUUCACUGAGGACAACACAGAAUCCUGGAGAUAUUUUUGAUGAGUAGUAAAGAAGUAAUGCAUGACUCUGAUUUGCGGCUGCAGGAUAAAUCCGAACUAUUUCAGGGAGAUGUCAUGGAGAGCUCAUCUCUCAGCAUCAAAGUUGCCUCUCCUGACUUUUGAAUUUUAAGUGUUCUGUGUGGAAGAAAAAUGGAGACAACAAAUUUCUAUGCAUGGAUUCAAAGAAUCCUCGUAAUAUACAGACUACAUUCUCCCCAGCUUUUUAUCUCUAUAUAUUCUUUUUGUUGAGUUUCAACCACAUAGGGUUGAAAUUCACCUUCCCACAUUACAUUUUUCAUCAAUAGUUGAAGACCUAUGUAUGUAAAUAUCAGGAACUAUCAGAACUCCCUGCAACAGGAAACCUGACCCCCAACUCCCCCGAAAUGCAUCAUGAUAAACAGUCACUUGCCAAAAUAACAAAUCAGCUUCCUGGAACAUGCUUGCUCAAAACCAGGAGAGGAGCUUAGAGACGUCAGCUUGACUUCUGCCUCGUACGCAGGAAGGGUGACCUUCAAAGAUCAAACAUCGUCCCAAAUCUCCCUUCAUCUUGUAGUACUCCUGCUUGUCGUAGCUCCUGUUACCAUCAGAGACAGAAUGUGCUAUAACCUUCUGGAAACUUCUACUAUUUUCCUGCAACCUGACUACCCCUUAGGUGAGGGAGUCCAGAAUGCUGGCUUGAAAUGGGAGAGAGAAAGAACUGCCACAUAAUUUGCAAGAUCUUUUUUGAAAAAGAAAAGGUAUUAAGAAUUCCAGGACAGCAUUAGGAAUGUAUUAAACCAGAAUAAGGAACAGCGGAGCUUCCCCCUAAGACCCUGGUGUGUUUCUGCAUCAGGAAACCUUCUCUCCUGCAAUGUGUCGUUUAAGAUUGAACAACAUGGUGCCUUUGCCAGAAGUUAACAGGAAACCCAAAAGGAGAUGAGCCAGACUGGUUAGUUCAGAAGAGAAUCGUUGGGGAAGACAAUGGGAGCUGCUGUUUGAAUGUGGCCCUGAGAUUAUUUGUGCUUUUCAAUCCCAUGUUACCAAAACACAUUUCAAGCUGGCCUAUAAAUCACACCUUGUGC